rnacentral:rRNA from 1 species
UCCUUAGAUGUUCUGGGCUGCACGCGCGCUACACUGAUGCACUCAACGAGUUUACGACCUUGUCCGAGAGGAUUGGGUAAUCUUUUUAAAAUGCAUCGUGAUGGGGAUAGAUUAUUGCAAUUAUUAAUCUUCAACGAGGAAUUCCUAGUAAGCGCGAGUCAUCAGCUCGCACUGAUUACGUCCCUGCCCUUUGUACACACCGCCCGUCGCUCCUACCGAUUGAAUGUGUUGGUGAGGAGCUCGGAUUGGCAGCAGUUGGUGGUUCGCCACCGGCUAUUGCUGAGAAGUCCUCCAAACCGCCCCAUUUAGAGGAAGGAGAAGUCGUAACA